GGACAUUGUUCGGCUGAGGGAAAACUUGUGAUUCUGGGCCCUUAUAUAAAGAUCUAAAGGUCCAGAUCUGAGGGGCUGCCUAGGGCUGCGGGGUUGGGAAGAGGUGGAGCUAGCAAGUGGGGUUUUUGAGGGGGUGGCUGCAAUUUUGGCUAGGGGGAACCCUAGUGGCAUGAGAGGCUCUCUCCACAAGGUGGGUGUAUAUAUAGGGAAUGACCUAGGGUUGGUUGGACCUCAUCCGUCUGAUCACGAUCUAAGGGCCACGAACACAGGUACGGGUUAGGUGGGUCUAGUGGUUUGUGUCGAUGGCAUAGGCUAAGAGAAGAGAUGUAAUUUGAGGCAUGUGGCAGGUUUUUAAACACCGAAAACGUCCGAC
rnacentral:lncRNA from 1 species